GCUCACCUCGCAGAACGUCUACUAAAAUGGGAACGAUACGGAGAAGAUGAGCACGGCCCCUGCACAGGAAUGACAAGCAGAUUCCUGAAGCGUUACAUCUUUAA